GGGUUGUGAGGUUAAGCGACUAAGCGUACACGGUGGAUGCCCUGGCAGUCAGAGGCGAUGAAGGGCGUGCUAAUCUGCGAUAAGCGCCGGUAAGGUGAUAUGAACCGUUAUAACCGGCGAUACCCGAAUGGGGAAACCCAGUGUGACUCGUCACACUAUCAUUAACUGAAUCCAUAGGUUAAUGAGGCGAACCGGGGGAACUGAAACAUCUAAGUACCCCGAGGAAAAGAAAUCAACCGAGAUUCCCCCAGUAGCGGCGAGCGAACGGGGAGGAGCCCAGAGCCUGAAUCAGCAUGUGUGUUAGUGGAAGCGUCUGGAAAGACGCGCGAUACAGGGUGACAGCCCCGUACACAAAAGCGCAUGUGUUGUGAGCUCGAUGAGUAGGGCGGGACACGUGGUAUCCUGUCUGAAUAUGGGGGGACCAUCCUCCAAGGCUAAAUACUCCUGACUGACCGAUAGUGAACCAGUACCGUGAGGGAAAGGCGAAAAGAACCCCGGCGAGGGGAGUGAAAAAGAACCUGAAACCGUGUACGUACAAGCAGUGGGAGCACCCUUUGGGGUGUGACUGCGUACCUUUUGUAUAAUGGGUCAGCGACUUAUAUUCUGUAGCAAGGUUAACCGUAUAGGGGAGCCGUAGGGAAACCGAGUCUUAACCGGGCGUUAAGUUGCAGGGUAUAGACCCGAAACCCGGUGAUCUAGCCAUGGGCAGGUUGAAGGUUGGGUAACACUAACUGGAGGACCGAACCGACUAAUGUUGAAAAAUUAGCGGAUGACCUGUGGCUGGGGGUGAAAGGCCAAUCAAACCGGGAGAUAGCUGGUUCUCCCCGAAAGCUAUUUAGGUAGCGCCUCGUGAAUUCAUCUCCGGGGGUAGAGCACUGUUUCGGCUAGGGGGCCAUCCCGGCUUACCAACCCGAUGCAAACUGCGAAUACCGGAGAAUGUUAUCACGGGAGACACACGGCGGGUGCUAACGUCCGUCGUGAAGAGGGAAACAACCCAGACCGCCAGCUAAGGUCCCAAAGUCAUGGUUAAGUGGGAAACGAUGUGGGAAGGCCCAGACAGCCAGGAUGUUGGCUUAGAAGCAGCCAUCAUUUAAAGAAAGCGUAAUAGCUCACUGGUCGAGUCGGCCUGCGCGGAAGAUGUAACGGGGCUAAACCAUGCACCGAAGCUGCGGCAGCGA
rnacentral:rRNA from 1 species